rnacentral:rRNA from 1 species
UAGCUAGUUGGUGAGGUAAAGGCUUACCAAGGCGACGAUCUGUAGCGGGUCUGAGAGGAUGAUCCGCCACACUGGAACUGAGACACGGUCCAGACUCCUACGGGAGGCAGCAGUGGGGAAUUUUGGACAAUGGGGGCAACCCUGAUCCAGCCAUGCCGCGUGAGUGAAGAAGGCCUUCGGGUUGUAAAGCUCUUUCGGCCGGGAAGAAAUCGCAUGGGCCAAUACCCUGUGUGGAUGACGGUACCGGAAUAAGAAGCACCGGCUAACUACGUGCCAGCAGCCGCGGUGAUACGUAGGGUGCGAGCGUUAAUCGGAAUUACUGGGCGUAAAGCGUGCGCAGGCGGUUUUGUAAGACAGGCGUGAAAUCCCCGGGCUUAACCUGGGAACUGCGUUUGUGACUGCAAGGCUAGAGUACGGCAGAGGGGGGUGGAAUUCCACGUGUAGCAGUGAAAUGCGUAGAGAUGUGGAGGAACACCAAUGGCGAAGGCAGCCCCCUGGGUCGAUACUGACGCUCAUGCACGAAAGCGUGGGUAGCAAACAGGAUUAGAUACCCUGGUAGUCCACGCCCUAAACUAUGUCAACUAGGUGUUGGGUGGGUAAAACCAUUUAGUACCGUAGCUAACGCGUGAAGUUGACCGCCUGGGGAGUACGGCCGCAAGGUUAAAACUCAAAGGAAUUGACGGGGACCCGCACAAGCGGUGGAUGAUGUGGAUUAAUUCGAUGCAACGCGAAAAACCUUACCUACCCUUGACAUGCCAGGAACUUGCCAGAGAUGGCUUGGUGCCCGAAAGGGAGCCUGGACACAGGUGCUGCAUGGCUGUCGUCAGCUCGUGUCGUGAGAUGUUGGGUUAAGUCCCGCAACGAGCGCAACCCUUGUCGUUAAUUGCCAUCAUUUAGUUGGGCACUUUAACGAGACUGCCGGUGACAAACCGGAGGAAGGUGGGGAUGACGUCAAGUCCUCAUGGCCCUUAUGGGUAGGGCUUCACACGUCAUACAAUGGUCGGUACAAAGGGUUGCCAAGCCGCGAGGCGGAGCCAAUCCCAGAAAGCCGAUCGUAGUCCGGAUUGCAGGCUGCAACUCGCCUGCAUGAAGUCGGAAUCGCUAGUAAUCGUGGAUCAGCAUGUCACGGUGAAUACGUUCCCGGGUCUUGUACACACCGCCCGUCACACCAUGGGAGCGGGUUCCGCCAGAAGUAGGUAGCCUAACCGCAAGGGGGGCGCUUACCACGGCGGGGUUCGUGACUGGGGUGGAGUCGUAACAAGGUAGCCGUAGGGGAACCUGCGGCUG